rnacentral:rRNA from 1 species
UUGUUUGUAGUGAAGGGCGUACGGUGGAUGCCUUGGCAUGCUGAGCCGAUGAAGGACGUGUGAGGCUGCGUUAAGCCUCGGGGAGUUGCCAACUAAGCGUUGAUCCGAGGAUGUCCGAAUGGGGAAACCCAGCACUAGUUAUGUGGUGUUACCUGCAGGUGAAUCUAUAGCCUGUAUGGGGGUAUACGCGGGGAAGUGAAACAUCUCAGUACCCGCAGGAGGAGAAAACAAUUGUGAUUCCGUUAGUAGUGGCGAGCGAAGGCGGAUGAGGCUAAACCAUGUGUGUGUGAUACCUGGCAGGGGUUGCGCAUGUGGGGUUGUGGGGUGCAUCGGAAGUUAUCUGUCAGUGACUUGCUUGAUGUGGUUGUGUCAGCGGAAGCGCCUGGGAUGGUGUACCGGAGAAGGUGAUGAGUCCUGUACGUGAAGGCAUGAUCAUGUUGGGUGUAUGUGUUCCCCGAGUAGCAGCGGGCUCGUGAAAUCUGCUGUGAAUCUGCCGGGACCACCCGGUAAGCCUAAAUACUCAGUGUGACCGAUAGUGAAUUUUAGUACCGUGAGGGAAUGGUGAAAAGUACCCCGGGAGGGGAGUGAAAGAGUUCCUGAAACCGUGCGCUUACAAUCCGUCAGAGCACCUCGUGUGUGUGAUGGCGUGCCUUUUGAAGAAUGAGCCUGCGAGUCAGCGGCAUGUCGCGAGGUUAACCCAUUUGUGUGGGGUAGUCGUAGCGAAAGCGAAUCCGAAAUGGGUGGUAAGUGGCAUGUCCUGGACCCGAAGCGGGGUGAUCUACCCAUGGCCAGUGUGAAGCAGCUGUAAGAGGUUGUGGAGGCGCGAACCCACUUAGGUUGAAAACUGAGGGGAUGAGUUGUGGGUAGGGGUGAAAGGCCAAUCAAACUCCGUGAUAGCUGGUUCUCCCCGAAAUGCAUUUAGGUGCAGCGUUAUACAAGCUUGCUGGAGGUAGAGCUACUGGUUGGUUGAGCGGGACUAUCAUCUUAGCAAUGUCAGCCAAACUCCGAAUGCCGGUGAAGUGGUGUAUAGCAGUGAGACUGUGGGGGAUAAGCUUCAUAGUCGAGAGGGAAACAGCCCAGAUCGCCGGUUAAGGCCCCUAAGGGUGUACUAAGUGGAAAAGGAUGUAGGAUCGCGAAGACAGCCAGGAGGUUGGCUUAGAAGCAGCCACCCUUGAAAGAGUGCGUAAUAGCUCACUGGUCGAGUGGUUCCGCGCCGACAAUUCAGUGGGGCUCAAGUACACCGCCGAAGCCGCGGCA